ensembl:lncRNA
GCGCGCGGGGAGCGAUUCUUCCCUUUCCAAAGCGGCCAACUUCUGCCUCUUUGCAAGACACUUCUAAAGACUUUCCCGGGCAGGAUCGCGCGUGAGACGGACAGGUUUGGCCCAACGAGCUGUUACGUUCCAGCGGGCCGUUCGUCAGCAAACGAGACGUACCCGGUAACCACAAAAAGAGCUGAGACCCGACCGAGUUGUACGCCGGAGGGUGUUUUUUUUCCCCCCCCACCGCUUUCCUUUAACGCUCCGCAGCGCGCUUCCAGGCCCCGUGGUACGCGCGAGGGUGGAUUUGCGCCAACCGGCCUCCGAGACGAUCGCCUCGACCUACGGAAAGAGUUAAGGCGUGGAGGUAGUUCGGAUUUCAAAACAAACAACCCAAGGAAACCGCGGCGCGAGCGGCCUUUGAAUUUCCCGGCCUUCGUGGGGUUUUGAAUCGCCACGACCCCCCCCGCCCCGGAUGGGCUUUCGAGGUGCGCUCGGGUUGCUCCCGUCCGCCGCCAGGAGCCCAAAAGCUUUUGUCUGCGUUCGAACCACAUUGGGGAAGCUGCUCGAUUGCUCCUGCUAUUAAUUCCCCGGCCGCUGGCGUCAGAAAGCCGGAGCUUUAGGGCUCGUAGCUGCCUCCGGCUUAUUGGUAGCGUUGCACAAAGCGCCGUCGUCCGCAGUUGCGCUGCUUCCCCGGUUUCGGAUAUUGGGGGGGUAGAAAAUCCCCUUUCUUUCAUUCCCUUUUUUUUUUUUUUUCUUCUCCCCUCCUUCUCUGGGUGUGCUGCCAGCUUCUUGAGAGGGAAAACCAAACCGAACGGCCAAAAAAGAAAAAAAAAAAAAGUGUGUUGAGAAUUGCUCCGAGCUACGUUGGUCCCUUUUCCUCCUUCCUGGUCCUCCCGGGUAAUCUCUCUCGGCCUGAAUUUCCCUGGGAGGAUAUUUCAGCGCGUAAAUGAGUAACUCCUGACUCAGGGUUUUAGGAACGAAACGAAAGCAAACUGCCUGCUCGCCUGCCUGCAGGUUAGCUGUGUCCCUGGGGAAAGGGCGAUUUUGGGGACAGAGACCGGCUUUUCCUCCCGUCCCCCCGUCCCGGCGGAGGAGAAACGACUCUUUAUGAAACUGGGCUCCGCGUUUGAUCGCGCUCGGAGCGAGGGGCCGCCGCAGGAGCACCCACGUCCUCCCCGGGGUUUUAGCCGUAGGCGCCGACGCGAGUGAGAGCUUUAACAGAAUAUACGUGAAACCGUUUCUGUAUCUUAUUUUUUUUUAGGUCCGAAUCCAGGGUUCGGUUACUUCCGUGAGAGGCGAUCACCUUGACGCCGAGCCCGUCGCUUUGCUUUCCGAGCGCCUGCUAGUACGUAGAGAUAACGCUGGGAAAACUAGUAAACUCGAGUGAUUCUGGCCAGCGAGAGUUAGCUUGUGCGCUUCCCCCAUCGCUUUUAAAAGCUCUUUUGGGCUUGUUUUAUUUCUGAAGCCUUACAGGUCUGGCUUAGGUGAUGAAAAUCCGACUUUUUUGAAAGGUAUCAGGCAGGAGGAGCAGGCAGAAAUUAUCCUCCAGCGAUUUACCGGCGCUUCUGACCGUCCCGUAGCCUGUGCUGUGAUUUUUUUUUUCCCUUUCCUCCUCUUAUCACCACCUAAUUUAUCUAAUUUUGAUACGGAAGCCCCAUUUGCGGCGCGUUUGGAUCUAUCGCUCGCUCCCGGGGCUCUCUGCCAACGUAAGAAAUGCUUGCGAAAAUAAACACUAGCGGGAUGAAGGCGGCGGGGUGCGA